AGAAGGUAAAAGAGUACUGCAUUUUUUUUUAAUCAAAAAAUAAAAUAAAGAAAGUUAAAAACCCUUGAAAACUAAACCAUCCAUAUUCAUCUUCUUUAACAAUACUAUGAUUUCCCACGCAAACCAAACCCCUAAAACUUGAAACCCAAUCAAACACCAGUAUAUUCCCUUGCAAUUUGAAGCGACGGAGCAUCUAAUAUUGCGUCUCAACCCCAGCAACUAAAUUUUCCGGCUUAAUUGUGAUAAUUUUGGCGGUGGGUCUCACCUAAUAUUUUGUAGAAGCUUCGAAUUCGAAGGAACCGGGGUCUUCAAAGAGGAGAAGGCUUAAGUCAAAAUGGAGUUGAAGAAAGCAAGUUCUAGAGGAGGUGUUGUCGAACUCUCUGAAAGGUUCGGUCGAACCUUGGGUGUGACCGAACCUGCACAAGGUUUGACCGAACUUUGGAAGCAGGUACUUUUUAGAUUUCAUCAUUUUUAGAAGCGGUCGAACCCCAUAAGUUCGACCGAACCAGGAGCAGGGAGGUUCGACCAAACCUACCCAUGGUUCGGCCGAACCUACCCUGAUGUUUGACCGAACCUACCCUAUGUUCGGUCGAACCUUUUGCCGAUUUCAACCAACUGUGUGCAGACUAUAUAAGCCCUGUUUUAGAACGUUUUGGGGGAAGGAGAUUAACUUAGUUCUAAUUUCUUAAUUUUAGCUUAAUCUAGAGAGAGAAAGUGGAUUAUUACUCAAGUUUCCUUUAUUGUAUUCAACUUUGGUCAAGUUUAAUAUUCAAUCAAGCAACAUUUAAAGUUUUCAUCUUUCA